CAGUUCCAGGUCUUACGUCGAGGUUUUUUUUGGGUUUUGUUUUUGUGGUUUGUUGUUGUUUUUUGUUUUUGUUUUUGUUUUUUUGUGCAGGGUGGGAGAUGUAGAUCUCAUUUCAUUCUUUUAUAUGUGGGUAUACAGUUUUCUCAACAUGACUAGUUUGUAUGUGUGUAUGUGUGUGUAUAUACACUAUGCAUAUAUGUUCAUGUGUACCUAUGUAUGUAUGUAUGUGUGUUCAUAUAUUAUCUAUGUAUGUAUGGAUGUUUAUAUGUGUAUAUAUGCAUGCAUGUAUGUUCAUAUGUGUAUAUAUGCAUGUAUACACACAGAUGUCCAUGCACAUGUGUAUGUAUUUGUGUGGAGACAAAGAAAGAUAAUAAGUGUCUUCCUCAGUCACUCUCUACAUUAUAUAUUAAGGCAGAGUUUCUUCCUUAUUCAGUCAGUCUAACUAGCCAGCUUGCUCUGAACACUCCCUGUCUCCACCUCCCAAGUACUGGGACUACAGGCAAGCCACUCCAUCUGUCCAGCACUCAUGUGGAUGCUGGAGAUGCAAACCACAUGCUUGCCUGGUAAGUGUUUUACCCACUGGGCUCUCUAUCCCACCCUUGCCAUUUGUUAAAGAUGCUAUCUCUUCUCCAAGUGUUUUGCUGUCUUUGUAAGAAAUCAGGUGGUUAUAGCUAUGUGUGUUCGUGUCUGCCUCUACUCUUCUGUCCUGUUGAUUUACGUGACUGUCUCUGUGACAGACUGUACUGUUUUUGUUACUCUGGCUCUGGAGUACAACUCAAAAUCAGGUAUGGGGAAAAGGCUCCAACAUUAUUCUUUUUGCCCAAAAGUGCUUGGUUAUUUGGUUAUUUGUGCUUUCAUAUGGGUUAUAGGGGUGAGUUUUUCCCUAUUUUUGUGAAGAAUGAUGUUGGGAUUUUAAUGGACAUUACACUAGAUUUAUACAACAUCCAUUUUCACAUGAUGGCCUUUCUCCAGUGCAUGAGCAUGGCAUCGGUCUCCAUGUGUGCAUGCACGUGGGUGUGUAUAGGCACAGUAAGCUGGGGUAGUCAGAGGACAAUUUGUGGGAGCCUGUUCACACAUCCCACACGGAAGAUUGAAUCGGGUCAUCACGUAUGGCAGCGGAAGCCUUGCCCUUCAGACCUACACGGUUUUGGUUGGGAGUGGGGUGGUUUGCUUUAUUUUUGCUUUGAUGCAACUGUGAAUGGGAUUGUCCCCCAUUGUCUUCCUCGGAGCAUUUAUUACUGGUGGCUAGGAAGGCUUCUGACUUCUUUGCUGACUUUUGUAUGCUGCCAUUAAGAGUUUCCUGGCUGUGUUUUGGGAUCUCUUCUGAAGAGUCCUCCUCUGCAGUUAGAGACGCCAACCUUCCUUCUCUGCAUCUCCUUUAUUUGCCUCUCUUGUCUCACUGUUCUAGCUGAGAUGUCCAACAACACAUCCGGAAAGAGAAGAGUAUGUGGUUUUAGUGGGAAUUCCUUCAGUUUUUCCCAGUUUAGUCUACUGUCGAAGAUUUGUCCCCUAUAGCCUGAGAUACAUCAACAUAUGUCCCCCCUAUUGCUGGUCUUCUCAGGGGUUUUAUCACAAAGGGAUUUGGGGUUUUAUCAAAAGCCUUUUUUGCCUCAGUUAAGAGGUCACGUGAUUUCUGUCCUUGAGUCUGUCUGCACAUGCUGAGCCUCCCCACCCCCCACCGCCCCCACACCUGUGUAACAAAGCCAGCUUUAGCAUGGUCCAUCAUCUUCUUGGUGUGUUCUUAGAUCUGGUUUGCAGAGAGCAGAGGGAAGAGGGAAUAGUUCUGCAUCUAUUUUCUGUUCUUUGUUUCUUGUAUGUGCAUCUGGGUGACCCGAGCUUCAUAAAGAGCCAUUAGUGCCCUCUCCUCCCCUAGCGUGUGGAGGCUGGAGAGGCUAAUUCUUCUUUAAAGGACUGAUAGGACUCAUCAGAGAAUCAAUCCUUUGAAUCUGGAUGUUUUCAGUCGGGAUAUUCUUAUUACAGUUUUAAUCUCGUUUGUUGUGGAUCCACUAAAAUUAUUACUCUAAGGAAAAUGGUGUAAUUAUAUUUUAAUUUUUAAAAGAUCUUUAAAGAUUGAUCUUUAGAGAUGUCUCUUAACUACUUGCAUAUCCAUUCCUUCGUAUGAAAACAUAUUUUUUAAUUUAAAUAAAGGAAAGGGUCUUUUUCCCCCCUUUCUCGAUUUCUCCAAGAAUCAACAAAUCUAACUAGCCUGUCUGCAGCUUGGAAAGCUGGCUUGUGACAGGGACACUAACAGAUCAAGUCUAGUCUCAAAACUAGAAACGACACUAUCUGUGUUCAUUUCUCUGAAUGAUAAAUAUACAUGUACAGUACUCCCCUUAUGAGGACCAGCCAGUCAAGUCAGAAGGACCCACUGUGUUCCUUCUGCUUGUAAUAUUUAUCAUAACGUUCUGGUUAUCUGUGCUUACUGGUCUAUGAUGUUGAAUGAAAGGUCAUUUUCAUUGUCAAAGAGGUUGUUUAUUUUCAUUUAAUUUUAGUAGGAUCUAGAAAUUCAUUCAUUUCUUUUAGAUUUUCCAAUUCAGUGGGAUAUAAGGUCUUAAAGGUCUAUCCUAACCUGUUUCCUAGUUUAUCAGCAUCUACUCUCCUGGAUCCCUUUCCCCUCUCAUUUAUGAUGUGGGGCCAUCUUUGUCUGGUUUGAACCUCCAGCCUUUCCCAUCAUGUCUCCCUCUGUCUGAUACCUUAGCUUGUCUCAUGCAUUUUUCUCUCACUAGUUUCUGCCCUGAUCAUAACUGUUUCCUCCACUUACCUAAGUUCUCUUUUUAUUUUAAAGGGAUUUGCAUGGGCAGGGGGUCACAGCUAUGGAGGCUUGUGGAGUCAAGGCAGAUCUCUGCAUCUGCUUCUUCCCUUCCACCUUCCUGUGGUCCCAGGGGUUGAAGCCUGGUCUCCAUGCUCAUGGGGCAAGCACCUGUACCUGGGGGCAUCCUGCUGGCCCAUCUAAUGUUGUAACACUUGCAGCUGUAACUUUCCCUCUCAGGACUUUCUUUCACUUGUUCCAUAGAUUUGCUGUGUUGCGUUUCCAAUUCCACUAGAUUGUAGGAAUGCUGUUCUCCUCCUCAAUUUCUUCCAGGGCCCAUGCGCUGUUCCCGAGUGGGCUGUUUAACCCCCGUGGCUUUGGCUCUCUUGCUUUGCAGCUUUACCUUCUGUUGUGGUCAGAUGAAAUACAGAGGAGUCUCGUCAAUCUUCCUAUGUUCAGUAAGACAUUGUUCUUCAUAAUAGAAACCUAUCCCAGUAUCCCCAGACUAAUUUGGUAUUUACCAUUCACUAUUUAAAUCCCCCACUCAGUUUUUAAAAAACAUUCUUUGUGGUAAGGACCCCAAGCACUGUGAAAUGGAUCAGUGGUUAAGAGCACUAGCUGAGAACCCAAGUUCAUUUCCCGGCACCCAAAUCAGGUAGCUCAAAACUGCCUGUCACUCCAGCUCCAGGGGCUCUGAUGCCCUCUUCUGGCCUCCACGGGUAUCACCAUGUGUGUGCACAUACACACAGGGAGAGAUACACAUAUAUAAAUAAACAAUCUUUUUUUAAAAAUCCAAGUUGUGUGAC
rnacentral:lncRNA from 1 species